rnacentral:rRNA from 1 species
CAAUAGCGUAUAUUAAAGUUGUUGCAGUUAAAAAGCUCGUAGUUGGAUUUGUGGCGUACGGUGGGUUCCGGGCACUUGUUGUCUGAGUAACUUGCUGUUGCCAUCCUUGGGUGGAACCUGUGUGGCAUUAGGUUGUCGUGCAGGGGAUGCCCAUCAUUUACUGUGAAAAAAUUAGAGUGUUCAAAGCAGGCUUAUGCCGUUGAAUAUAUUAGCAUGGAAUAAUGAGAUAGGACUUUUUUGCUAUUUUGCUGGUUUGCGCAAAGAGGUAAUGAUUAAUAGGGACAGUUGGGGGUAUUCGUAUUCCAUUGUCAGAGGUGAAAUUCUUGGAUUUUUGGAAGACGAACUACUGCGAAAGCAUUUACCAAGGAUGUUUUCAUUAA